rnacentral:rRNA from 1 species
UACGAAGGUGGCGAGCGUUACUCGGAAUUACUAGGCGUAAAGGGCAGGUAGGUGGUUUGGUAAGUCUGUUGUGAAAGCUCCCGGCUUAACUGGGAGAGGCCAACGGAUACUGCCAGGCUUGAGUAUAGGAGAGGUUACUGGAAUUCCCGGUGUAGCGGUGAAAUGCGCAGAGAUCGGGAGGAACACCAAUGGCGAAAGCAGGUAACUGGACUAUUACUGACACUCAACUGCGAAAGCUAGGGGAGCAAACAGG